GAGGCUCCUUGUCAUAGAAUCAAUUUUAUAACUAGUAAUGGGUAAGUCCCACAUGGAUGGAAAGCUGUACUGAGACGAUUUGUAUAUUUUAUUCUUAAGGGCCCUUUUUGAAAGAGUCUCUGGCAUAAAUGUAGAGAUGCUCUUUUGAAAAGGGUUUUGAACUGAGACCAGAUCUUUUCUAAUGCUGUUUUAUUUCCCAUCCACUCACAGAUCAGUGUUUAUGACAUCACAACAUAAGUAAAAAUGGACUGCCUCAAAUCAGUUUCAUAAAUAUUAGCGAAGUACUGACACAGUAAACACCACAAAAUAAAUAGCAGACUAAUUACACAGCUAAAAAAAUAACGUCAAUAUUCACAUCUAUGUACAUGACAAAAAUUAUCCUUUGGUUAUCCACUGAACCUGAUAAUUUGGGCUUGCAUCUGGUUUAAUUAUAUUCAUGGGGAAGUGCUAAACCCAUAAUGGUUAUACAACACCUGUGUUUUAAGUUUUUUUUUUUUAAACUGACACAAUGUAUUACAUAGUAUAAUGAAAAGUAAUGACUCGCAAAAUUGUAAUAGGAUUGCGGACAAGCCACAGAGUGGGUGGGGUUAGAACCCAUGGCGAGUGAGAUUUACAACUCGCUCACCAUGGGUUCUAACCCCACUUUUUUCCAUGGUUGGUCUAAAAUAAACGUUCUGAAUUUCACUUUUGAGACUUCAGAGGUUCCCCUCCACCCUAAUAUCACACUUUAACGUGGGGUGCCUUAAUGCUGUCGAUCCAAAGAAGUGGAGCUUCCUUCUACUUCUUGGAUCAUACCUGAUUACUUCCCAAUUCCCACAGACGGUAUGAUGAUCUCUUACAGGCUUAACUCUUCCACAUAAACAUAACUAUGAAAAAUUAAUUGGUGUAAACUAUUUCUAAUAUGAAUGCUUUUUUGUGUUGCAGAUUUCGAUAGUGAUGAAUGGUCACGCUAGUGAUGCUGUUCCAGAGCUCUCAAACUUUCUGAGCUCGGCCUGAGGACAAACAUUGCUGCCUGAUCAACCAGGCUGUUGCUGCCAAUUGCCCACUAUAGGCCUACAUAGCCCACCACAUCCUGGCUGAUCUGGUACUUGUCGCAGUAGUGGUCCAGUUUCCUCCUGAACACCUCUACUUUUGAUCUGGCAGUGGUAGAGGAAUUAGAAACUGGUUAUAUGUUAUAUAUUGAAACAAACAUGAGUAUUACAGGAUUGGCUCCACUUUAUGCAGGUAAAAAAAUUGGAAGAUAUAUGUACAUUUAUUACAAGAGGUAUCUUUUGUUAUUAAAAUGCAACUAUGAACAUUAGGAUGGUUUAGUACCACUGUUUCUGCUUCAUGGCACACACACACACCCAGAAGUUGUACAAUGGUGCACAAUACCGACAAGAUGAAGAACUAGACACGUGCAACAUCUGGGUGUCUUUAUUUGUAGACGUUUCGCCAUCCAUUGACUUUAUCAAUACACAAUAAGGACAUUGUGAAGAUCAGAACUAUAUACAAAAGGUGAGACUGAUUACCUUACAUUUUGUAUAUAGUUGUAGUCUUCACAUUAUGUCCUUGUAUUGUACUGAUAAAGCCACUGGAUGGCAAAACGUCUACAAAUAUAGAUACCCAGAUGCUGCAUGUGUCUUAAUUCUUCACACUAAGACGUACUUUCUUCAGUCAUGGCGUGGUACAUGGAACACACUAGAUGAAGAACUGGUGGUGGCAGACACUAUACACAGUUAUAACAGUAGUUAAGAUUGGGACCUGGAGGCCAGUAAUCUCUAAAACUGGUCGAUAAAAGAGGGGCAAGUGGUUCAUCCCCUGCAACUACAACUAGGCGAGUACAUUUCUGUCAGAGGUAUAACGUCUUAACAUGCAAUGCAUUAUUACAUUAAUGGGGAAGUGCUAAACUCAUAGGGGUCACAGUGAACAUUCCAGCAACUGAUUGUAUUUUAAACUGAAGGGCUCUUGAUCCUAGGUGUUGGAGUUGUCCUCUCAUUCCUCAGAUCAAACCCAAUUACCUUCCUUUUCUCAAGCACUGUAUGACCCCUACAAGUUUUGUGCUUCCUCACAAGUGUAUAGCUGAAAUUGGAUUGUAAAUUUGCUAAAGUCAUUUAUCCAACAGUAAGAUCUGGAUUUUGACGUACAACUUUUUUUACAACCUUCUUGAAUUAUAUUCAGUAGGACCCCAACUUAUGAUGGUAAUACACUCUUGUAAACUGUUUGUGAGUAGUGUAUUAGGAACUCGGAACCUAUUUAACCAUAGAUGCCCAUGUUAUAGUGGGAGAUGGGUUCCUAGCCCAUAUUAUCUUAUUUCAUUUACAGUGGAACCUCAAAAAUCAAACUGCUCCCAACACAACCAAUUAUGUAAGUGUAUUUUUGUAAGUGCUUUUAUAAGUGUAUUUUUGAGGGUCUUAAAUGGUCUAAUCUAAUUUACAUUAUUCCUGAUGGGAAUAAAUUCGUUCAGUAGUGGCACUCGAACAGCCUUCUGGACCGAAGAAAGUUCGAUAUUUGAGGUUCCACUGUAUAUGUUUAAGAAUAUUUACCCAGUAUUAUAUAUUCAGUAUUAUUCCUUUACACUUGCAGACAUUAUUUAAUAAAAUGUAUACAUGUUAAUAGUGGUGUUAGGUACAGGACCCUAUCAGAUGUGGAGCAGAAUUUAUCUUAUGGCUGUUUCAUGUGGCAGUGAAUUCUAAGAUAAUGUGGGUUAAGCUUGUGAAGAUGUUGUAACUCAGCUUUUUCAAUGAUGGUGUUGGAAGUGGUGAUCAGUGAUGUGUUGAGACAAAAGUGUUGCCUCAAAUUUGGUUCCCUUUAGAUUAGUUUUGCAUCUUUCUGACACAUGAGAUGUCCUUCAUUGUUAUUGUGUACAAUACAUGUGUUUCCAAUGUUAUCCCUGCUCCAGGCAUGUGUGUGUUCAUACACUCUCUUGGAUAAGUUUACCCUAUGUGACCUUCGUCACACUGCUCACAGGGGAUGUUUCUUUAGAGAGAACAUGAGAUGUGAAUUUUAUCUUGAAGUCAGCAGUCAGUGGUGGUAAUAGUGGCAAUUUUGGAUAUUACUUUACCAGUACCAUAGCAAACACAGCAUACAGCCUUUUGCCAGAAGCAAUAUCGAAGUUGCCACUACUGCAAAUGAAAAAAAAAACUUUCGUUUUUCUAAGUUUAGUAAUUUAUGCAGGAGAAUGGGUUACUAGCCCCUUCCCUCUAGCAUUUUAGUCGUCUCUUAUGACACGCAUGGCUUACAGAGGAACAAUUCUUUUCCACUUCUCCAUGGAGAAUGGGGAAAACUGAUCCUAGAGAAUUUAUGAACACAGAUAUGCCUGGAGCAGGGAUAACAUUAUUAACAUGUGUUAACCUAACAGUAACACUUAAGGACAUCUCAUGUGCAGAAAAGAGGUUGCACUGAUCUACAGUGAAGCAGAUUUGACAUGAUACCAUUGCCUUGAAGCAUCGCUCUGCCACCUACAACACCAUGAUUCAAAUAGCUGGCAGCUACAACAUUUCUACAAGUUUUGCUUACAUGAUCUUAGAACUUGCUCUCCCAAAGACUGCCAGGUGACACUUCCAGCAAGGUCCUGUACUUAACCCUACUGUUACUCCUCCUCAUCCUUAUUCACUCAUACUCCUCAGGCAGUUGAAGUCAUUAAGGUUUCAGUACCAAAAGUGUUUUAAGUGAAUGCAUUCAUGCUCAUUUCCCUUUUACUGCUAUGGACAGGGAAGAGUAGCACGACGUGUAGGGGCUGACAGCAACGGGACUUUCUUCUUUUACAUCAUAUCUAACUCAAGACUACACAUAUGUUCACCACAUAGGAUACAAUUCCUACAAGUAGACAAGAUACAUGCAAUAGUUGGGUAUCUUAUUGCAAUAUUUCACCUGCUCAGGCUUUUUUUUUAAUCAAAUACACAAUUAGUUCUUCAGACUUGAGGAAGAAGUGAUUUUGAGGUGGUCAGUCCUUCAGCCUUGAGAAAUAUUCGUCCCCAUAACCUGGACCAGUGUGAAGCCGAGGCAGGAGGAUGGAGCCUCUUAUACUGGACCCAGAAGUGAAGUGCAGGAAGUGGAGUUGGGAUCAUAGGAGGCAGGGUUCACUAGUGGAGGUAAGAACAUGAGAACUGAAGAGCACUGCAGCAGGCAUACCGGCCCAUGUUAGGAAGAUCCAUCAGGUCCUCCAGAGAUGCAGUCUCCAACUUCCACACCUUCAGUUUGGCUUCUAUAAAAAAAGGCUCUGUUCUUUUGCCUCAGUUUCAUACUGCUUGAGGCUAUGGAGCUAAACACUUAUCAAAGCUGAGAGACUGACCAACUUAAAAUUACUUAAAUUCUGAGUGAAUAAUCACUUCACAUUGACCAUUUUCUACAUCCAAUAUUUAAGUCACCUCUGUAUGCUACUGUAGAAGUUUGAUGGGCAGGUGAAACUCUGACAAUAAAGACACCAACUAUUGCACAUGUUUUACCUACCUACUCUCUCACUGCUGUGGUGUGGGUUAAUGUGCAUGGGAAUAUAGUGCAGGAAAGUAGUGUGAGGGUGUGGUGGUAGUUCUUGCACCUUGCUGCUGCCCAUGUGCAGUAUGUGGGCAACAACGGUAUAAGAAUAUUAUUAUAGUACAUAUUUAAUCUACUUCUUAACCAUCAUGAACUCUCCACAUGUGCAUAAAAAAAUACACAAAAUACCAAUGCAUUUCGUAAAAAAAAAAGCUGAAAAAAUAUUCAGUCUUAAGAGAAUCAUUAACUUUAAUUCUGUAGUUCUUGACCAAUCUCUACCAAACAAAUGUUAACUCCGAGUACAUACACAAGUAGCGCUGUAUGACCCUUAUGGGUUUAGCGCUUAAGUUAUUAUAAUAAUGAACAUUCACAAAGUAUGAUAGCAUGUAGUAAAAUGAUCAAAUAAUUUGCUUGAAUAUAUUUUGCAAUGAUUGUAACCAUAGAUAAGCAUUAAUAAAUAAUUGAUUGGUUCAAAGUUGCAAUAUUUGUAAGUGUGAAGCAUCAUAAGUUGGAACCCUAAUGUACACAUAAUUUAUAUUCACACAUGGUGUCAACACAGACUUGCUAUACAUGAAAUACGACUAGAAAGUUAUGAACUUUCUGUUCUCUGGUUAUUAACCGUGUAAAAAUAAAAUGAACUUAUAACUGUAAUUCACUCUGACUGAACAAUUUUGAAAAAAUAAUUUUCUAAGUAAAACACGAACUGCUUUGAUCACACGGCGACACAACCACACUGCACGGAACAAACAAGUGAAGGAAAGUACCUGUAAGUAGUUUCUAUGCAUCAACAUUAAUCUUUUCAGAUACUUCACUUUACAACCCAUACAGGCUUAGCUCUUGUUUUUCGAAAUAGUAAAUAUUAUUUAUCAAU